UACGGAGGUGCAAGCGUUAUCCGGAUUCACUGGGUUUAAAGGGUGCGUAGGUGGAUAAGUAAGUCAGUGGUGAAAUCUUCGGGCUUAACCCGGAAACUGCCAUUGAUACUAUUUGUCUUGAAUACUUUGGAGGUAAGCGGAAUAUGUCAUGUAGCGGAUGAAAUGCUUAGAUAUGACAUAGAACACCAAUUGCGAAGGCAGCUUACUACACAGUAAUUGACACUGAGGCACGAAAGCGUGGGGAUCAAACAGG
rnacentral:rRNA from 1 species